UCCGAUAUGGUGUAAUGGCUAACAUUAUCGCCUCUCACGCGAUAGCCCGGGGUUCGAUUCCCCGUGUCGGAA
rnacentral:tRNA from 2 species